UACGUAGGGGGCAAGCGUUGUUCGGAAUUACUGGGCGUAAAGGGCUCGUAGGCGGUUUGUCGCGUCGGGAGUGAAAUCCACUGGCUUAACUGGUGGCUUGCUUUCGAUACGGGCAGACUGGAGGUAUGCAGGGGAGAACGGAAUUCCUGGUGUAGCGGUGAAAUGCGCAGAUAUCAGGAGGAACACCGGUGGCGAAGGCGGUUCUCUGGGCAUGUCCUGACGCUGAGGAGCGAAAGUGUGGGGAGCGAACAGG
rnacentral:rRNA from 1 species